rnacentral:rRNA from 1 species
AUUGAACGCUGGCGGCAGGCCUAACACAUGCAAGUCGAGCGGAUGAAGGGAGCUUGCUUCUGGAUUCAGCGGCGGACGGGUGAGUAAUGCCUAGGCAUCUGCCUGGUAGUGGGGGGCAACGUUUCGAAAGGAACGCUAAUACCGCAUACGUCCUCCGGGAGAAAGCAGGGGACCUUCGGGCCUUGCGCUAUCAGAUGAGCCUAGGUCGGAUUAGCUAGUUGGUGAGGUAAUGGCUCACCGAGGCGACGAUCCGUAACUGGUCUGAGAGGAUGUUCAGUAACACUGGAACUGAGACACGGUCCAGACUACUACGGGAGGCAUCAGUGGGGAAUAGUAGACAAUGUGCGAAAGCCUUAUCCAGCCAUUCCGCGUGUGUGAAGAAGGUCUUCGGAUUGUAAAGCACUUGAAGUUGGGAGGAAGGGUUGUAGAUUAAUACUCUGCAAUUUUGACGUUACCGACAGAAUAAGCACCGGCUAACUCUGUGCCAGCCGCCGCCGUAACAC